rnacentral:rRNA from 1 species
AGAGUUUGAUCCUGGCUCAGAACGAACGCUGGCGGCGUGCCUAAUACAUGCAAGUCGAACGAGAAAGUGGCUUCGGCCAUGAGUAAAGUGGCAGACGGGUGAGUAAUACAUAGGUAACCUACCUCUAAGAUGGGGAUAACCUUCCGAAAGGAGGGCUAAUACCGAAUGAGACCACAGCUACUCCGGUAGCAGGGGUUAAA